rnacentral:lncRNA from 1 species
UCCAAUGUGGGAUCUCAAUGAGGAAUAUUAAUCCUAUUCCUUCAUAAACAAUAAUCCUCUACCAGAUAAAUGUGCAUGCCUGCACCGUGCACAAAUGCGUGCGGAUACAUGAUCGCGUGUGCGGGUGAGAGAGAUGCAGAACAAGGUUCUUCAUGUACAAGUAACAGUUACCUAAAAAUGAGAAACAAAUUGCACAAGAGUGUAAACUGCCAAAAGCUUCAAGGUUGAUACAGUAAGUCUCAGAAAUAGCUUGCCUUUGGUAGAUCAUGUUACAGUGUAACGCAAUCAACUUUUUCUACUGAAAUUCUAAAUAAAAUUUUGAUUACAUUACAUUGCAUUACACACUAGCAAACAUAUUGUCUUUUCUUUUUUAUUAUUAUUCUUCAUUUUUCCUUUUGGCAGUGCAAUGAAUCUGACUGAGAAAGCCA